rnacentral:rRNA from 1 species
AUUGAACGCUGGCGGCAGGCCUAACACAUGCAAGUCGAGCGAGCGGCGGACGGGUGAGUAAUGUAUGGGGACUGCCCGAUAGAGGGGGAUAACUACUGGCAACGGUGGCUAAUCCCGCAUACUAUCGGAUAACCCAUAUGGGAUUAGCUAGUAGGUGGGGUAAAGGCUCACCUAGGCGACGAUCUCUAGCUGGUCUGAGAGGAUGAUCAGCCACACUGGGACUGAGACACGGCCCAGACUCCUCCGGAGGCAGCAGUGGGGACUAUUGCACAAUGGGCGCAAGCCUGAUGCAGCCAUGCCGCGUGUAUGAAGAAGGCCUCAGGGUUGUAAAGUACGUUCAGCGGUGAGGCGUUACCCGCAGAAGAAGUACAGGCUAACCCCGGGACAGCAGCCGCGGUAAUUC